GGCGCAGUGGCCAAGUGAUAAGGCAUCGGUCUUACAAGCCGAAGAUCAUGGGUUCGACCCCUGCCUAUACCU